AAACCCGCUCCUCGGCUCAUGAAUAGUCAACGAGGCCUUUCUGGGCGGGACCAGAGGUUUCCUCAUGAAUAAUUCAUGACCCGUCCACGGCUAGCCUGGGCGACCGGCCUCGCUAGACUUCAUGAAUAUGCAAAGCAGGGGCGAACGGCGGCUAGCCGGCCCCUAGCCCGCCCGGCCCCUCAGCAGCCGCCUCUCAGCCACGGGCUGCACACUGACCCGACGCGACCUUCGGUCAGGGGCCGCCAGCCUGGGCCACCUAUACAACGACAGCCUGCUCCGGGGCUUCCUGAGGAGGUGCCUGCCCCGCCGAGGUUCAACAGCUUUGGAGAGCAGGACAUCUUUUCCUCUCAGCCUGGCCCUCUGCAAUGGAGGCCAUAAAUAGGCCAGUAGUGGAAGCUACAGAACACGUGAGCAUGGCAGGGGCUGAGCUCCAUUUCAAGGCUUGUAAGGACCCUUGUGAUGACAUUGGUCCUACCCAGACUACCUAGGAUAAUCUCCCAUCUCAAAGUCCUCAUCUUAAUCCCAUCUGCAAGGUCCCUUUUGCAAUUUAAGAUAACAUAUUCAACAGGUUCCGGGAAUGAGAACAUGGAUGUCUUUGGAGAGCCAUUAUUCUGCCUACCACAGAUAUAACCUGGCUGUUACCACCAAGGGUUGGAAUGAGGAUCAUUCUGGGACUGCUGCAAGAGGCUGGAAACUGGAACCAAGUGCUACCUUCAUGGUAAGAAGC
ensembl:lncRNA HORMAD2-AS1 HORMAD2 and MTMR3 antisense RNA 1